UGAGGAAUAUUGCGCAAUGGGCGAAAGCCUGACGCAGCAACGCCGCGUGGGUGAAGAAGGCCUUCGGGUCGUAAAACCCUUUUCUGUGGGACGAGGAAGGACGGUACCACAGGAAUAAGUCUCGGCUAACUACGUGCCAGCAGCCGCGGUAAAACGUAGGAGGCGAGCGUUAUCCGGAUUUAUUGGGCGUAAAGCGCAUGCAGGUGGCUCGACAAGUCGGGAGUGAAAGCCCCUGGCUUAACUAGGGGAGUGCGUUCGAAACUGUCGGGCUGGAGGCCGGAAGAGGAAAGCGGAAUUCCCGGUGUAGUGGUGGAAUGCGUAGAUAUCGGGAGGAACACCAGUGGCGAAGGCGGCUUUCUGGUCCGCGCCUGACACUCAGAUGCGAAAGCGUGGGGAGCGAACGGG
rnacentral:rRNA from 1 species